rnacentral:rRNA from 1 species
GACGUAGGGGGCCAGCGUUGUUCGGAAUUACUGGGUGUAAAGGGUUCGUAGGCGGUGCGGCAAGUCGGGAGUGAAAUCUCUGGGCUUAACCCAGAGGCUGCUUCCGAAACUGCUGUGCUUGAGUGUGGGAGAGGCGCGUGGAAUUGCAGGUGUAGCGGUGAAAUGCGUAGAUAUCUGGAGGAAUACCGGUGGCGAAGGCGGCAUCCUGGACCGGCAUUGACGCUGAGGAGCGAAAGCUAGGGGAGCAAACGGG